rnacentral:sRNA from 1 species
AAUAAAACUACCACACUCGUCACAGGGUGGUGAAUCCAGUAGUAUAAACACUUGGAGACCAAUGUUUACAAGCAUACAUAACGAUCAUGGAUUCCUUUUCACCAAAGUUAGUUACCUGCCUCUUCAUUAGUGUCUCUAAUUUUUUCAUCGUUCGUUGCGAGGAAUCCAAACCAUUUACACAAGACAGCUACACAAGUCAUUUGAUAAUCUUCGCUUCUGUGCUGGGUUACCUUAUACUUGUAUCACUCUUUGCAAUUGUUGUAUGGUAUUGCAUCGCAAAACCCAAGUCAAAUCAACAUCAGAAACCCGAACCGACAAAUGAUACAGAUCUGCAGUUCACUUUCGUCACUUAUCCCGAACAACCGGAAAGAUACACCAGCGCACUCGAUAAUUUUUGCAGUGUCGAUAUAAACGAGUAUGCACCAGCUACAGACAUGUCAUCCUUGGGUACUGACGACCGACGAUCAGUGGUAGACAAAGAGACAUAUGUGGAUCUGAACAAUAUGCACGUGCAUUUCGAUAACGCUGGCUACGUCGAAUAAACACGCCAUUUAGAACAACGAUACUACACAGUAUUUAUAUUCUAUGAACUAUGUUUUGUGGCGAAUUCAAACAUGAUGCAAUUAAUUAGAGGCGUGUUCGACAGAGCGGGUACUCGCGAGUGGUCGCCCCAAAAUUCCCUUUAACUAAUAUACCCGCAACACAAAUUUCGGCUCGUUAUACCGAAUACAUACUGAAUAAUGUACAUGUAUAAAUAAUGUAUCAAAGACACCUAGAAAUUGAUUUUUACUUGUUUAUGUACAUGUGAUAAUUCUAAUUAAACAGCUAUACGACUAAGGAUUCGCCACAUCCUACAUGUAUGUAUAAAAUGCAUAAAACUCGU